AAGACCUUGUCCUGCCCCUAUUGCUGUCUUUCUCUAGGGUAUCUAUGGCUCAACAAGUGUAAACACAAAACAUUAAUCCUUUUCCAUUUUUAUGUCUUUAUUAGACAAGGUCUGUAGGAUACCUGACAUGAGGUAGUGCUCUCUCAGAUAUUUGUUAACUCCCCAAAUCUUGGUGAAGGUUUAAUCCUAGGUCUCUUGGCAGCAAUAGUUUUUACCAACUUUUUAUGCUGGCACCAUAAGAACAUUAUUCCUUUUCUUUUCAUUCUCUCAUUAUGAUAUAUUUUGCCAUAUUUGUCUUCAUAGAGAUUGAUUUAACUUGAUAUGCAACUCGCUUCUUUUGGGGUUUGUUUUCAAAUGAAUAAUGUAUGGCUUUUUCCUUUUACCUUUUUACCUAUUCAUCCUUGAAUGAAAUGGUUAAUUUGGAUCCUAUUUUAAGAUAUAUAAAACAUGGAUGAUUACACACUGAUGCCCUAAUGCACCUUUUUUUUUAAGUUGUAAACAAAGACUUUAGCUUGUUGUUGGCUUGUUCUGUGUUGCUAAAGCAUUGAUGUAGCAAUUGGGAAUAUGCCAAAGUCGAUACUUGAUUGAUUCUUACCAUAUUUUUAUUGCUUUGUUGUUAUAUUCGAUUCCCAUUCUCAUGUUUUCUCAUAUUCUUGUUCAUUUUUUAAAGUUUUUCUUAUUUUUAUAUGCUUCAACCUCCUUUCGCUGAAAUAAGCUCUAAAAUGGAAAUCUUAACAUUUGCAGCUAAUAAGAUGAAAAAUGAAAGCAAAGGAAAGGGCCUCAAAUUUGCAUAGUAGAGGGUCUUUUUCUUACGUACAUUCAUAGGAUUUCAAAGCAUCAAUGAUUUCUUUGAGAAGAACAAUUUGCUUGUCUACAGCUUGGAUUACCGAAAGCUACUCAAGUUUAUGAUAUUCUGUAGUAAUGAUUUAGAUCUAUACAAUUAUUUUAAAUUUGACUCUUAAAAUGAUGAAUUGAUUUUCUCAUCAAGGUCGAUGCAGUGGUAGGAUUAGCUUAGCUCUGUAAUUUUCUAUAAGCUAUAUAUCGAAGGUUAGAUAAUAAUAAGGAUUUAAGUGCCGGUGCAUCCUGGACUGCAUCGGAUACAAUAUCAGUACCAGUAUGCUCUCAUGCGAAUAUCGUAUAGGUACAUGUAUAAUAUGCUCAUUUGUGCUGUUUUGGCACAUGCAGGCGUUCUAUAGUUUGGUAUGGAAGUGUAAUGUACUGGUCCCUAACCUAUCAGUAAGGUACCAUUAUGUGUAUAGAUGCUGGGAUGAUUCCCACAUUGAGAAGGGUUUCUUGGGAAACUGAACUGAGAAACUGGUGCAAAGCAUUUGUUUUAUGAAGUGCAAAAUUUGGGUUUCCCACUUUUGUAUUACAUGUGAAUGAGAACUCCUACAAGAUACCUGUUGGAAAAGGGACUUUUUGUAUAUUAUUAUAAACCGGGAUCAAUGGUUGAAAGGGGCUUGAUAAAAACACCCUUAUAAUAUCAUUUUAUGCAUCUUUUUUCUCACAUCAGAGCAUGUGGAGAGUGUUAUUAUAAGGAGACUUUACAAAUAUCCAUAUAAAAUUGUAUAUAUGAAAUUUAUCAAACUUUGCUGAGCACAAGAAAACAAUAAGAAACUGAUACAUAAACUAGAAUCGUCAUAGUUUCAUAUCAGUCAUUUUAAGUUUUGAUGUAAGACCUUGUCCUGCCCCUAUUGCUGUCUUUCUCUAGGGUAUCUAUGGCUCAACAAGUGUAAACACAAAACAUUAAUCCUUUUCCAUUUUUAUGUCUUUAUUAGACAAGGUCUGUAGGAUACCUGACAUGAGGUAGUGCUCUCUCAGAUAUUUGUUAACUCCCCAAAUCUUGGUGAAGGUUUAAUCCUAGGUCUCUUGGCAGCAAUAGUUUUUACCAACUUUUUAUGCUGGCACCAUAAGAACAUUAUUCCUUUUCUUUUCAUUCUCUCAUUAUGAUAUAUUUUGCCAUAUUU
rnacentral:lncRNA from 1 species